UAUUGAUGCACAACACUUCUGGAACUAGAUUUUAUUGAUUUACACAUAUUGUAAAGAUGUUUCAGAUCAAGAGUUAGUUAAACACGACCAACAUUUAAAUCAAGUGAAUGCACCGAAAAAAUGUGAUACUCAUAUAUGAAAAUUAUGACCAACGUUUCCUGGGUUCCAUUUGAUCUGUGCCACUCAUCACAAAGCAAUUUUAAAUACAGAUAUCAUUGGUAUAUCCACAAGCUCCGUGAUGAAGCAGCCACCUCUACCCAAAACCAC